rnacentral:misc_RNA from 1 species
GAACCAAGAAAUAAAGGAGGAAUAUUGCUACUAUCAAGGUGUAUUAAUGAUUCUGAUCCUAGAUGUUCUCGUUUGAGAACCAGAGGUCCCUCAUAUUGGGCAGAGGCACCAGCAGUGGCAUGGCACUCAGUCAAAGGAAUAAGUGAAAUGGCAUUAUCAGCAGCUGUCCUCUCUGGCACAGCAAUCGAGUGUUUAAGUGUCAUCUUAGGAAGAGUUGCACCCUCGUCAGCAAGGAAGGAAGUCUCAAGGGACAAAUGAUAGGCUGCAAAAACUGCAUAUUGAACAACACGCUUAACCUUCUUUAGUUCUUCAAGACAUGUGCCUCUCAGCAGGACCGUGCAUCCUAGACGCCUUGGACAUCCUUCAAAAAACAUCAAUGUUUUAGAAGGCUUUUUGUUGAAAUGAUUGGCAGUCUCAUGUUCU